AGCGAACGCUAGCGGGUGGCUUAACACAUGCAAGUCGAGCGGUCUUCGGACAGCGGCGGACGGGUGAGUAACACGUAGGAUAUCUGCCUUCAGGUGAGGGAUAGCCAGGGGAAACCCUGAUUAAUACCACAUGUGGCCCACGGGUCAAAGCCUUUGGCGCCUGGAGAUGAGCCUGCGGCCCAUUAUUUAAUCCUAGUUGGUGGGGUAAUGGCCUACCAAGGGUACGAUGGGUAGCUGGUCUGAGAGGACGAUCAGCCACACUGGGACUGAGACACGGCCCAGACUCCUACGGGAGGCAGCAGUGGGGAAUAUUGCGCAAUGGGGGAAACCCUGACGCAGCCAACCCGCGUGUGUGAUGAAGGCCUUCGGGUUGUAAAGCACUGUCGUGAGGGAAGAUGAUGACGGUACCUCACAAGAAAGCACCGGCUAACUCCG
rnacentral:rRNA from 1 species